rnacentral:lncRNA from 1 species
CUUUAAGAUUAGAGCUGUGGUUUUUACAUUGGCAAUUAGGGAUCCCAAUCUGGGGUUCUGAGAAUGAUCCACUUUCUAUCGGAGGAAUCACCUGAAUGGAAGCCAGGUUCCAGCAAGGACCCAUUCUUGGAGUCCAGACAGCCUAACGUUACUUUCUCCGUUGGAUUGUUGAAAGGCAUAGAUCCUAAAGAUGUCUUCUAGUAAUGACCACGUGUUAGUACCGAUGUCACAGAGAAACAAGAACGGCCUUCCUGGAAUGAGCUCCAGAGGCGCGAGGACGCUCGCAGAGGGAGAUGUGCUAAGUUUUCAUCACAUCACCUAUCGAGUGAAAGUGAAGAGUGGCUUUCUAGUCCGGAAAACAGCUGAGAAAGAAAUACUAUCAGAUAUCAAUGGGAUCAUGAAACCUGGUCUUAAUGCUAUUCUGGGACCCACAGGCGGAGGCAAGUCUUCGUUGCUAGAUGUCCUAGCAGCAAGGAAAGACCCACGGGGAUUAUCUGGAGAUGUUUUGAUAAACGGGGCACCUCAACCUGCCAAUUUCAAAUGCAGUUCAGGUUAUGUGGUUCAAGAUGACGUUGUGAUGGGCACCCUGACAGUGAGAGAAAACUUACAGUUCUCAGCAGCUCUUCGCCUUCCAAAAGCUAUGAAGACGCAUGAAAAAAAUGAACGGAUUAACACGAUCAUUAAAG